rnacentral:rRNA from 1 species
UACGUAGGGUGCAAGCGUUAAUCGGAAUUACUGGGCGUAAAGCGUGCGCAGGCGGUUUUGUAAGUCUGUUGUGAAAUCCCCGGGCUCAACCUGGGAAUGGCAAUGGAGACUGCAAGGCUAGAGUUUGGCAGAGGGGGGUAGAAUUCCACGUGUAGCAGUGAAAUGCGUAGAUAUGAUGGAGGAACACCGAUGGCGAAGGCAGCCCCUGGGUCAAAACUGACGCUCAUGCACGAAAGCGUGGGGAGCAAACAGG